rnacentral:rRNA from 1 species
GUCUAUAUGAAGUUAUAUAUAGUCUAACCUGCCCCCUGAAUUUUUAAAGGCCGCAGAACACUAACUGUGCAAAGGUAGCAUAAUAACUAGUUUUUUAAUUGAAAGCUUGGAUGAACGGUUGGACGAAGAAAUAACUUUUUUUGAUUUUAAUUUAAAAUUUUACCUUUAAGUAAAAAGGCUUAAAUAUUUUUAAAAGACGAUAAGACCCUAUAAAACUUUAUAAAAAAUAUAUUUUUUUAUUUUUAUUAUGUUUCUAAUUUAAAAAAUAUUUAAUUUUAUUUUGUUGGGGCGACAAGAAUAAUAUUUUAAUAAACUGUUCUUUUUUUAUACCAAAACUAUUUGAAAAUAAUUGAUCCUUAAUUUAAGAGUAUAAGAUUAAGUUACUUUAGGGAUAACAGCGUAAUUUUUUUAUAGAGUUCUUAUCGAAAAAAAAGUUUACGACCUCGAUGUUGAAUUAAAAUUUCUUUAUGGUGCAGGAGCUAUAGGAGUAAGUCUGUUCGACUUUUAAAAUUUU